rnacentral:rRNA from 1 species
UACGUAGGUGGCAAGCGUUGUCCGGAUUUACUGGGCGUAAAGAGCGCGCAGGCGGUCGUGCAAGUCGCGUGUGAAAGCCCCCGGCUCAACCCAGGAACUGCGUCCGAUACUGGAAGGCUUGAAUCCGGGAGAGGGAUGCGGAAUUCCAGGUGUAGCGGUGAAAUGCGUAGAUAUCUGGAGGAACACCGGUGGCGAAGGCGGCAUCCUGGACCGGUAUUGACGCUGAGGCGCGAAAGCCAGGGGAGCAAACGGG